AAUCAACGCUGGCGGCGUGCCUAACACAUGCAAGUCGAACGCGAAAGGGGAGCAAUCCCUGAGUAGAGUGGCAAACGGGUGAGUAACACGUGGGUGACCUGCCUUCGAGUGGGGGAUAACGUUCCGAAAGGAACGCUAAUACCGCAUGACAUCCUGCUUUUGGAGAAGCGGAGAUCAAAGCUGGGGAUUCGCAAGAACCUAGCGCUUGAAGAGGGGCCCGCGCCUGAUUAGCUAGUUGGUGGGGUAACGGCUCACCAAGGCUUCGAUCAGUAUCCGGCCUGAGAGGGCGGACGGACACACUGGGACUGAGACACGGCCCAGACUCCUACGGGAGGCAGCAGUGGGGAAUUGUUCGCAAUGGGCGCAAGCCUGACGACGCAACGCCGCGUGGAGGAUGAAGAUUUUCGGAUCGUAAACUCCUGUCGAGUGGGAAGAAUAGCUUCCGGGCGAAUAUCCCGGAAGUCUGACGGUACCANCUAAAGAAGCCCC
rnacentral:rRNA from 1 species